CCAAGAAAGCAAAAUAGAUUUUGAGACUGAGUUGGUCCUGAAACCAAAAUAGAUUUUCAUCUUCUCUGUUACUGCAUCGCUUGGCCAUCUCUCACACUCGUCUCUCACUCUUGCUGAAAUGCAGGUGAGCAGGAAUCCCACCAAGAGAAAAGAACAAGGAUAAGGAAAAGAACUCUGUCACACUCAUCUCAUGCUGGGUUGCAGGUAACCCACCCAUCUUUGUUUCGUUCUGGAUUGUGCUUCAUAUGAGAUGCAAAAUUAUAAAUUAUAUGCGCCCACCACACUGGCACCUGCUCGGGGCUUUUGGUUGUUGCGCUACAAAACUGGAACAGGGGAAAAGGGGAUGAUUAAGGUCGACCUGUCUUUUCAAGUAAUGUUGCUUAAUUUCUUAUUCUCUUGAAUUUGCAGAUGGUUUUCUGUCUCCUUGAAGCUGGGAAUUAGCAAGCAAGCUUGCUGUGCAGAGACAGCUUCAAAUCUUUGUUGAUUUAUUUAGGAAUUUUUCUUUCUUAACUCUUCUUUCCAUCCUAAUGUCAUUUUUAAGCAUAAGGAAAUUUCAGAUUCCUAACUAAUUGAUGGAAAGAAUAAAUGGGCAGAGAUUCGCGACAUUAGGAUACUGGAAAUAGGUAGAAUAGUUGUCAUAAGACGGGGUUGAACAAAUUGUUGGUGGGAUAAGGUGCUGCCAUGAAAGAGGAGGCAAUCAGUGGUGGAAGGACAGAACUCGUGCUUGCUCAGGACAGAACUCGCUGAAGAUAUCAUCUGCAUCACCCAUUCUUUAUUUAUCGGUUAGUCUCAUUCUUGCAUUCCUCCAUUACCUCAUUUUGGAAUUUCAUCAUUUCUCAUAUUUCAAUGACACAUAAAAAUGUAGUCAGUCUUGUUCAUAGUCCAUUCUAUAUAUCCGUUUGACCCUUUUAGCCUAGUGUUUCUACCUAAUCAUUAUAUGCAAAAAUGUAUGUGCUUUUUUUAACUUCGCUUAAUGGAAAAGCGAUGUAUAAAUUUUUCGUGCUUUAGUUGUUGAUCUUGGUGUUAUCUCUCUCUUUAUUGUUUUCUUGAUUCUUAGAAUUAUUGCUACUCCCUCCGUUCCUAAAUAACUGACACUAUUUCUAUCUAAAUUUUGUUCCUAAUUAUCUGCCACUUUACAAAGUUCAAGAGAGCAUUAAUUAUAUUUUACCAAUUGUACCCUUCAUUUAUUGGUGGUAGGAAAAUUGAAAAGUUAGAAUUAAUAAGAGAGAUAAAGGGUAUAGUAGGAAGUUAGAUUGUAAUUUUAAUAAAAAAAUAUUAUUAAUUGCUAUUUCUUAAUACUUGUGCAACAACCUUAAAGUGUCAGUUAUAUAGGAACGGAGGGAGUAUAGUUUAUCUCAAAUUCAGUGUCAGACAGUUUUUCUAAUAUGGUUCCUUUCCUUGUUGUUCUUGUGUCUUGGUUCACGUGUGUGUGUGAGAGAGAGAGAGAUUCACGUUUUCUGUUACACUCCAAUGGUUGUGUGUGUGUCCAAAUUGCCCUUAUAAUUUCUACAAGUACAGAACUACUAAUCCAGAUAGUUAUAUCCUCAUUCAAUACAUGUGAACCAGAACAAGCUCUCACAGCUUCCAGAGAUGAUUAGUUGAUUGAGAGAAUGAGAUGAGGAAUAAGUAUUGUGUAUAUUCCAAUAAAUGACCCAAACAGAUAGAAAUAUCCAUAUAAUAUAAAGAAAAAGAUAACCAUAAGUUAGAAAAUUCAAGUGUUGAUAUGAUUAUAUGUUCCCAUUGAAUCCAUCUGUGCCUGACAUCCCACUAUAGGCAAUUCAUGAUGUGUACCAUCCUUCUGUAUCAUAUAUGCUGCACCAGAACGGUACAUCAUGAGCAUGCAAAUCCCAUCAGCUCCAGUUGCAAAACUGCACUGCCCCCAGUCUCAUGGCCAGGUUUGGCUGUUGUGAUUCUUUGGUUUUUGGUGGUUCAGUGGUUUGAUUCUGUUGAUCUCAUGUCUUGGUAAUUGGAAAUUGAUUUUCUUUAUCUAUCCUGAUAUGCUUCUCGUUAGUUUGCUAUUUGCUUACUAAUAUUCGAUUUAUGUGCAUCAACUUAGCAUCUUCGGUAAGGAGGUAACCCUCCAGACUUCAUUUUCUAUUCAUUUUUGGUAAGCUCUUCACUUCUUGCACUUGUUUCCAUGCUCUGAUCACACACGCAAGGGAGAGUUCAAGUUCUUCCUAUUGAGAACCAGGUUUAGAGAGGAAAAAAAAGUAAACUGAAUUGAAUUCUGUUAUCGAUAUUCUAACUGAAUACAAGAGGUGCUCUCUUAAUAUAUGGAGUGAGAGAAGCUUGCUGAAUUCAGGAACUAAUUCUAACUAAUAGAGCAGUUACCAAGAGUAAACUGACUCAACAACUAACAACAGCUAGUAACAUCCAGCUGGCACUAUAACUAACUAACUUUAUUCUCUAAUAGUCCCCCUCAAACUCAAGGUGGAGAGAAAGAGUAAUCUUGUCGAUCGCAUGGAGUUCGUCCCUUACAGCCUCAAACCGAGUUGGAGAUAGUGCCUUAGUGAAAAUAUGUGUUGGAGAUGGUGCCUUAGUGAAAAUAUAUGUCCAGGGUAUGUGAUACACAAACAUUGCCUUGUUGAGAACCUUUUCUGAAACGGGAAAAUAAUUGUCUAACUCCAUGUGUGUUUUUCGUUGUUGGAUUCUUGGUAGUCCUUAUUCCUUGUUGAGCUUUUCUUGAUUGUCUUUGUGCUAUCCAUUGUUUUGUCAUUGGUUUAUUUUCCGUUUGACCUCUGAAGUUUGUAGAGUGUUUGAAGAGACUCCACAAGACCACCUUUAAUCUCACACUUAGUUACAUCUUCUAGUGUGGUUUUUCUUUUGAGAAAAAGGUGGAAAAGUUAAGAGUGGAAGAAAAGAGUGCUCAAUAGAGAAAAAAUCAUAAAAAGUAUGAUAUGACACAUGAAUGAGUGUGAGUGGCGCGUGAGUGAGAAAAUUAAAAAGAAAAAGUAAUAUUCUCAUGUUGACUAUUCACUAGUUUUCCAUUUUUACCAUUUAGUUAAUUUUUCUUUCUUAUUUUCUCCUUUUACAAUUGUAUUGUUUGUUAUAGUGUGUUUGUAUUAGGAAUUCUCAUUGUAAUUUUUCUUUUUAGAUUGUAUAUAGGAUCAAAUCUUUGUACUUUGUAGUAGUUCCGUUGUAUUAGGAUAUAGUUUUGUACUUUUUUUUCUCUUGUAAGUGGACUGUGGACAUUCUUUUGAGAUCCUUUGGUUGAUCCCUACAUGUUUGCUGUGCUUGUGUGUGCAUCAUUAGAAAUAGGAUCUUUUGGAUGAUCCUCUAGGCUAGAAAUAGGAUCCUUUGAAGUGGUUCUUUAGGGGUGUUUUUUAUUGCUUUUGUUUUUUGCGUUUUCUUUUGGUUUUUUGCAUCGUACCUUCUUGUGAUGGCUAUUGUAUAGGAGCAAUUCUUCUCUUUCUUCUAGGUCUUGCAUAUUCAUGGACUUGUAACAUCUAAGUCCAAAAGUUGACCAUGCAAUUAGAUACAAAAGAAAAGCGUGUGACAAAGGAAAAAAUAAGAGAUGAAAAAAGAGAAAAAGAUAGUGAACUAAAAUUUCCAUUUCAUGGUUAAAGCGGUGUAGAAGCCUACUUAGAGUAGGAACUUAAAGUAGAACAACUCAAAAGUUGCCAUAAAAUUAGAACAACCCAAGUUUUCAAAACUGCAUAAUAUUGGAGGGAUAGACUAGUUAAAGAGAAGAAGAGUUACGAAUCACAUAUCUCUUCUUCAAAGAAGCUCAAAUGUCUCAAAAAUGUGUACUUUCUUUCUGCCAUAUGGUGCUCCUUCAAAAGCUCAAACGGUUCAUCCAAGGGCCCAUGCUUGUAUAUGGGUGCCAUUGGGAAUGCUCUUGAUCAGAGAUAAUCUCCAUUAAAAUGAGGAUGCACUCAUUGUGCGCUUUCUCAAUGGGUUACACAUAGAAAUAAGAGGUGUGUUGAGCUCCACAACUAUCUUGACCUUCAAGAGCUUGUCCAUCAAGUUAUCAAGGUGGAACAAUUCAAAAGAUAUAAGAAGUUUUCUACUUUGAAGGAUAAAUUUUUGAAAAUCCUCUACUUCCAAGUAGAAACAUUUCAACGAGGAUGAGAGAUUGUUAGAGGGAGAUCAUAAGGCUCUUAGGAGACUAUUACCUAGUAUAGAUGGUGAGGUAACCAAAUAGAGAACAUCUUUUGUAAAAGAUGCCUAGUUUUCACCAAUGUGGCUAGCUCUAGGCUAGUGAAUAAGCUAGGAUUUGCUGCAAAUCCUCAUCCAAAGCCAUAUAAUCUUCAAUGGCUUCUUGACCAAGAGGACUUGGUUGUAAUUUGUAAAUAAGCAAGUCCUACUUUCCUUGUUCAGAGGAAAGAGUCAUGACGGGGGCGGGAAAGCUUACA